ACGAUAAUAUUUAAUCGAUAAGUGCAAAAAAGGGGAGGAGGAGCGCACGUCGUCGAUUUUUUCACAGUCAUAUGUGUUCUAGAGUUCGCAGAGAGAUGAUAUGUGUAACAACACAAUAUUUUAGUCGUAACAGAAUGCUUCUGCUAGUUAUGGGCUUGUGGCCCUAUCAACAGUCAAAAUUUGAUCGACUUCGAUUUAUUUUCUUCCUUAGUAUUUUGAUCUCUGCUGUUUUAUUUCAAUUUACUACAUUUUUGAAUUCAAAGUACACUGCUGAUUUUGUCGUCAAGAUUUUAUCUAGUGCUCUCUUUUUCACUACCUUUGUUAUAAAAUAUAUAUUUUUCGCUAUUAAUACCGAAACUCAAAUCUUUCUGACAUUCAAAGACGGUAUAACAAAUUGUUGGACUAACAGGUAAAAGAUUUACUGACACAACUUCAACAUGUGUACGAUCAACUAAAAGAUGAAUAUGAAAACGCUAUCGUUGAAAAAUAUGGCUAUAAUGCGAAAUGUGUUACGCUUAUGC